rnacentral:rRNA from 1 species
AUUGAACGCUGGCGGCAGGCCUAACACAUGCAAGUCGGGCGAGCGGCAGACGGGAGAGUAAUGUAUGGGGCUCUGCCUGAUGGCGGGGGAUAACUAGUGGACACGGUAUAUAAUACCGCAUCCCCGCAGAUGACCCCAUAUGGGAGUAGCUAGUAGGUGAGGUAACGGCUUAUCUAGGAGACGAUCCCUAGCUGGUCUGAGAGGAUGAUGAGCCACACUGGUACUGAGACACGGCCCAGACUCCUACGGGAGGCAGCAGUGGGGAAUAUUGCACAAUGGGCGCAAGCCUGAUGCAGCCAUGCCGCGUGUAUGAAGAAGGCCUUCGGGUUGUAAAGUACUUUCAGUCGGGAGGCGUUACCGGCAGAAGAAGCACCGGCUAACUCCGUGCCAGCAGCCGCGGUAAUUC